rnacentral:lncRNA from 1 species
GCACCCCCCACCCAGUUGUGAUAACUAAAAUGUCUUCAGGCAAUUGGCAAAUACCCCCUGAGGACAGCAUCUCCCCACAGCUUAUUUUAAUUUAUACGUAAAGUCUGGCAUAUUAAUAUUUAUUGAAUGAAUACAUUAACAAGUGAAGGUGAUUAAAUUGUCUAUUCCCAUUGCCUGGUAUACAGGUGAUUACUCAGCAAAUAAUCAUUCUCCCUUCCAGGUGUAAUAUCUUGCAAGUAAAUUUGCUUACACAAGGAAGCUAUUGAGCUAAAGUAGGAAAGUAUCCAAGAAAGAAAAAAAAAAAACAGCUUCCAAAUACCAGAGAGAUGAAACUCUGAUUCCUUCAUGAAAUGAAUUGAAAGUACUCUGUGUAACUGAAGGCAAACUUUUAAUCAAUUGGAUUUCAAGGGUGCGGGCUGAGUCUAUGCCGUGCAAUGACUGGACAGUAAAUCACCUACCAGAAGCUGCUAAACUUCACGUGGUGCUCUCCACCAAAAUGGCUAGAGAGAUCCACCAUUGGCAGCACACUCCCUUCAACUUGCUGUUUCUAUACUGGAAAUUGUUUUAUUUGAUCCAACCAUAUCACCGCCUAGGUAGGGUAAUGUCUUGCCCAAACAGUGAAGUCUCUUAAGUCCAUCUUUGAAAUAAAAAUUGGCGACAUUC